UACAGAGGUCCCAAGCGUUGUUCGGAUUCACUGGGCGUAAAGGGUGCGUAGGUGGUGAGGUAAGUCGGAUGUGAAAUCUCCAAGCUCAACUUGGAAACUGCAUUGGAAACUACCUUGCUAGAGGAUUUGAGGGGGGAUUGGAAUACUUGGUGUAGCAGUGAAAUGCGUAGAUAUCAAGUGGAACACCGGUGGCGAAGGCGGCUCUCUGGACCGACACUGACGCUGAGGCGCGAAAGCGUGGGGAGCAAACAGG
rnacentral:rRNA from 1 species